rnacentral:rRNA from 1 species
AAGCGCGAUCCAGCCCACACCGCGUGAGUGAAGAAAGCCCUUCGGGUGGUAAAGCUCUUUUUUCUGGGAAGAAAUGUGGUGUUUUAAUACCCGGGAGGGAUGACGGUACCCAAAGAGAAAGCCCCGGGUAAAUUUGUGCCAGCACACGCGGUAAUAUGUAGGGGGCGAGCGUUANUCUGAAUUACUGGGGGUAAAGAGUGCGCAGGGGGUUUUUUAAGACUCAGGUGAAAACCCCCGGCUCUACCCGGGAAAUGCGCUUGUGACUGUGCAGUCUAGAGAGUGGGAGAGGGGGGUGGAAUUUUCCGUGUAGCGGUGAAAAAUGUAGAGAUAUGGAGGAAAACCCCUGGGGAAGGGGCCCCCCUGGGCCCGUACUGACACUGAGGCACGAAAGCGUGGGGAGCAAACACGAUUAGAUACCCCGGUAGUCCACGCCCUAAACGAUGUGAACUAGAUGUUGGGGGCGCUACGUUCUCAGUAACGCAGCUAACGCGUAAGUGACCGCCUG